rfam:Pseudomonas sp. Bc-h sc_008, whole genome shotgun sequence.
CUAGGCUGCGUCCGUCGCUGAACAUCAGCGACCGGGUUUAGCAGCCUGAAUG